CAGGAAUCACCUGGACAUGGUGCUGAGAUCCAGGAAGUCUGGAGUCAAGCAAGACAUUCUGGAUUAAUGACAAGGCUGGAGCUCCUGCUGCUGGUCUCCAGAUCACACUUGGAAUAGAAAGAACAUGUGGAUCCCACAUGUCUAUGCAUCAGCCUCGCCUGUAGGGCUUGUUAUAUAAAUGAUUCCUCGGUCUUGGGCAUAGUACUGUGAGACAUGGGUUCUAGAGAGUGGCCUGAGGAUUUUGUAAGGCCCACCAGCAAUCCUGUUGCUCAGCCAGAUUGGGAACCACUGAGAUCAGAGAUCAGAGAGUGCCCAGGGUGGGUGGGUCGGGUGGGUUUUCAAACCUUGGUUAAAAGAGGAUUUUUCUCACAGCAAAGAAGGGCAGGAUGUACAUCAUCGAUUAUGAGAUGUGAUAUUCCCUGCUGAUCUCUCCACCAUGGCAUAGAGGACAGGUAGACAAUUCAGGAUGUGGCUCUCGCACAAAGAACACCUCUGAAUGCUGCUCUCUGACACUGCUCCACACACUGAUUUCUCACUCACUUCUUGGAGCAAACUAUGGAAACCAAAUUUCUCUAAUGGAGAGAAUCCACAGCCCACCCUGUCCGGUCCCUCCUAGGAACAACUGCCCCUGCUGCUGAGCACAGAUGCCACUGCUCACAACUGUGACAUCCUGGUGCUGGACACUGGACCCUAAGGCUAGGACAGAUGUCACUGCUGUGCCUGGAAACUGGACAUCACCACUGCCACUCAGCCACCUUUACUAAAAUGCAUUCUGCACAGUCCCAGCCUCUCUGUGUCGCCUCAUACUGGCUCAGAGUCUGGCAGU